AUGUUUUGUAGUCUCAACGAUGAUGCAUACAUAUCAACUAUGGGCGUUGGCUCCAACAAUUCGCAUUGGUCUCAAACCAAUGACAUGCAUUUCGAAGAUCAUGAGUUCGAGGUGGACAAGGAUGGUGAGGGCAUUGUCGACGCGCCGAAAGGAAGAGCAGAAGUUUACACCAACGCCGAAGACAUCUUACUAUGCAAUACUUGGUUGCAAGUGUCGAGGGAUCCAUCCGUUGGAGGUGAUCAAAUUAGAGAUGCUUAUUGGGGGCGGAUGAAAGAACACUUUGAUAUUUGCUACCUCUUGAGCACUGCGUUGGAUUUCCCCGAAGAGGAGAGGAUGAUGCAGCAAAGUAGCGUAAGUAUUUCCCUCAGUUUUUGA
rnacentral:rRNA from 1 species